rnacentral:rRNA from 1 species
GAAUUUUGGACAACGGGCGAAAGCCUGAUCCCGCAAUGCCGCGUGGAGGAUGAAGGCCUCCGUGCUGUACACUGCUUUUGUACGGAACGAAAAGCUUUGGGCUAAUACUCUGGAGUCACGACGGUACCGUUAGAAUAAGCACCGGUUCCUUACGUGCCCGCAGCCGCGGUAAUACGUAGGGUGCAAGCGUUAAUCGGAAUUACUGGGCGUAAAGCGGGCGCAGGCGGUUGUGUAAGACAGAGGUGAAAUCCCCGGGCUCAACCUGGGAACUGCCUUUGUGACUGCAAGGCUAGAGUACGGCAGAGGGGGGGUGGAAUUCCGCGUGUAGCAGUGAAAUGCGUAGAUAUGCGGAGGAACACCGAUGGCGAAGGCAACCCCCUGGGCCUGUACUGACGCUCAUGCACGAAAGCGUGGGGAGCAAAC